rnacentral:rRNA from 1 species
CCGUAGGUGAACCUGCGGAAGGAUCAUUACCACACCUAAAAACAUCUUUCCACGUGAACCGUUUGUGACAUGGUUGGGCUUGUGCGUUUUCUCUCUCUCUUUUGGGGGAGGGGAUGCGUGCGAGCUAUCUGUAAACUUGUCAAACCCAUUCUUUUUGAUAACUGAAACAUACUGUGGGGACGAAAGUCUCUGCUUUGAACUAGAUAGCAACUUUCAGCAGUGGAUGUCUAGGCUCGCACAUCGAUGAAGAACGCUGCGAACUGCGAUACGUAAUGCGAAUUGCAGGAUUCAGUGAGUCAUCGAAAUUUUGAACGCAUAUUGCACUUUCGGGUUAUGCCUGGAAGUAUGUCUGUAUCAGUGUCCGUACACUAAACUUGCCUCCUUUGCGUCGUGUAGUCGUCGCGUUGGAACUUUGUGGCAGAUGUGAGGUGUCUUGUUUGCUGUGUCUUUGUUGAUGCGGCGGUCAAGUCCCUUGAAAGUCGGACGCGUAUCUUUGCGUGCGUUGGGUGCCGGUGGGCUGUGGGACGCGUCUGUUGACGAGUCUGGCGACCUUUGGCGCGUGCAUGCUUGGGCACUGUGUAUUGGCGGUAUGUUAGGCUGCGUUCGCGCGGCUUUGACAAUGCAGCUGAUGCGUGUGUUUGGGGUGUGGUGCUGUAUGGGUGAACCGGAUGGUCGAUGGGUUUUUUAAAUGCGUUUCGCGUGUCUGUUUUUAUCCGGUGUUCUGUUUCGUGCGUGGAGUGUGUCAUCAUUUGGGAAUUUGUACGUCUGUUUUUUAUGGGCGUAUCUCAUUUGGACCUGAUAUCAGACAAGAUUACCCGCUGAACUUAAGCAUAUCAAUAAGCGGAGGA